UGAGGAAUAUUGGACAAUGGGCGAGAGCCUGAUCCAGCCAUGCCGCGUGCAGGAAGACUGCCCUAUGGGUUGUAAACUGCUUUUAUACAGGAAGAAACACUCCCUCGAGAAGGGAGCUUGACGGUACUGUAAGAAUAAGGAUCGGCUAACUCCGUGCCAGCAGCCGCGGUAAUACGGAGGAUCCAAGCGUUAUCCGGAAUCAUUGGGUUUAAAGGGUCCGUAGGUGGAUAAUUAAGUCAGAGGUGAAAGUCUGCAGCUCAACUGUAGAAUUGCCUUUGAUACUGGUUGUCUUGAGUUAUUAUGAAGUAGUUAGAAUAUGUAGUGUAGCGGUGAAAUGCAUAGAUAUUACAUAGAAUACCAAUUGCGAAGGCAGAUUACUAAUAAUAUACUGACACUGAUGGACGAAAGCGUGGGGAGCGAACA
rnacentral:rRNA from 1 species